rnacentral:rRNA from 1 species
AUUGAACGCUGGCGGCAGGCCUAACACAUGCAAGUCGAGCGGUAGCACAGAGAGCUUGCUCUCGGGUGACGAGCGGCGGACGGGUGAGUAACGUCUGGGAAACUGCCUGAUGGAGGGGGAUAACUACUGGAAACGGUAGCUAAUACCGCAUAACGUCGCAAGACCAAAGAGGGGGACCUUCGGGCCUCUUGCCAUCAGAUGUGCCCAGAUGGGAUUAGCUAGUAGGUGGGGUAACGGCUCACCUAGGCGACGAUCCCUAGCUGGUCUGAGAGGAUGACCAGCCACACUGGAACUGAGACACGGUCCAGACUCCUACGGGAGGCAGCAGUGGGGAAUAUUGCACAAUGGGCGCAAGCCUGAUGCAGCCAUGCCGCGUGUAUGAAGAAGGCCUUCGGGUUGUAAAGUACUUUCAGCGGGGAGGAAGGUGUUGAGGUUAAUAACCUCAGCAAUUGACGUUACCCGCAGAAGAAGCACCGGCUAACUCCGUGCCAGCAGCCGCGGUAAUACGGAGGGUGCAAGCGUUAAUCGGAAUUACUGGGCGUAAAGCGCACGCAGGCGGUCUGUCAAGUCGGAUGUGAAAUCCCCGGGCUCAACCUGGGAACUGCAUUCGAAACUGGCAGGCUAGAGUCUUGUAGAGGGGGGUAGAAUUCCAGGUGUAGCGGUGAAAUGCGUAGAGAUCUGGAGGAAUACCGGUGGCGAAGGCGGCCCCCUGGACAAAGACUGACGCUCAGGUGCGAAAGCGUGGGGAGCAAACAGG